rnacentral:rRNA from 1 species
GAUGAACGCUGGCGGCGUGCCUAACACAUGCAAGUCGAGCGAACAGAUGAGGCGUUUGCUCCUCUGACGUUAGCGGCGGACGGGUGAGUAACACGUGGAUAACCUACCUAUAAGACUGGGAUAACUUCGGGAAACCGGAUCUAACACCGGAUAAGAUAUUGAACCGCAUGGUUCAUUAGUGAAAGACGGUUUUGCUGUCACUUAUAGAUGGAUCCGCGCCGCAUUAGCUAGUUGGUAAGGUAACGGCUUACCAAGGCAACGAUGCGUAGCCGAACUGAGAGGGUGAUCGGCCACACUGGAACUGAGACACGGUCCAGACUCCUACGGGAGGCAGCAGUAGGGAAUCUUCCGCAAUGGGCGAAAGCCUGACGGAGCAACGCCGCGUGAGUGAUGAAGGUCUUCGGAUCGUAAAACUCUGUUAUUAGGGAAGAACAAAUGUGUAAGUAACUAUGCACGUCUUGACGGUACCUAAUCAGAAAGCCACGGCUAACUACGUG